ACCCAUUAUGCACUGUGAGGGUUGCACUGAAUGAAUUACUGCAUCUCACCAGAAGAUGGCGCAUGCAGCUGAAUCAUCCAUCUAUCCAUUUUCCAAACUGCUGCUCCAAUGUGGCUACAGCGUAAUAUCAUACAGCUACCACCACCUAAGGGAGAUUUCAACACACACAGCGGAGAUAUUUCAGCAUGGAGGAUGAAAACCAGACUCAACGAAAUUCAAACUGCAAGAGGUGGAGAGAUUCCAUCCAUUUGUGUUGAAUCAAACAACCCUUUGUUCCACCACCAGGGCCUAUUUACUGGACUUUCAGGUUUAUCUGCAUAUUAUCUGUGGUUCAGUAAAACAUACCUUGUUUUUUUGUUUUUUUUUUCCCCUCGCAUGACAUCUCGCAUGUAUAAAUACACCUACUUUUAUUUUCUUUUGACAGAAAAAGGAAAGGUUGCACUAGAAGUACAAGUAAUAAGGUCAAAUCGCUAUGGCGGCUGUAAUUGUGCAGCAGCCUUUCAUCAAGACUCAGAGUAAUGCCUGGACUUCAGGAAUAUGUGACUGUUGCCAGGACUUGAAUUCUUGUAUGUAUGCUACAAUUCCACUUUAAGGCCUUAUAAUAAACAUUACAGCUCCUUUUUUACUGUUCAUUAA